AGCGAACGCUGGCGGCAGGCCUAACACAUGCAAGUCGAACGAACCUUUCGGGGUUAGUGGCGGACGGGUGAGUAACACGUGGGAACGUGCCUUUAGGUUCGGAAUAACUCAGCGAAACUUGUGCUAAUACCGAAUGUGCCCUUCGGGGGAAAGAUUAAUCGCCUUUAGAGCGGCCCGCGUCUGAUUAGCUAGUUGGUUGAGGUAAUGGCUCACCAAGGCGACGAUCAGUAGCUGGUCUGAGAGGAUGAUCAGCCACAUUGGGACUGAGACACGGCCCAAACUCCUACGGGAGGCAGCAGUGGGGAAUCUUGCGCAAUGGGCGAAAGCCUGACGCAGCCAUGCCGCGUGAAUGAUGAAGGUCUUAGGAUUGUAAAAUUCUUUCACCGGGGACGAUAAUGACGGUACCCGGAGAAGAAGCCCCGGCUAACUUCGU
rnacentral:rRNA from 1 species